UGAAAACCUCAAAUCUUACACAGUUAGAAUUUAUAUAAAUAUUUAUAUAUAUUGAUUGAACCAGCAGAAGAGAAUAUGGCCCCCACCGCUACCAAAAGGAAUCACAUCAGGUAGCUGAAAUAUGGCGAACAGCAGGCGUGUAAUGCGUAUUGCAGAGAGAAGAGGAAGUCAGACGUAAACAAACUGUUCCGGAGAAGGACACGGAACGAAGCGGAUCCAGGUUCAAUGUAAAGUUCAUGCUUCUUCCCCCUCCUCUUCCCCUCAUCAAAGAGCCAACUCAGUAUCGCUUUUUAUUUGCGGCGCGUGUAUUUAUAUCUGCCGCACUGUUCACUCAAACCAAGUACCGCAAGUAAAGCACGAAACAAUAAAAAUAACCAAAGAAACUGUGAGUGCAACACACGUUAGUUAAGUGCUAAAAAUGCACGUAGCGGCUUAGGCAGCAGCAACGUGUCUGACUUGUAAGCCCGUCCGUAAUGUGCUCUGUUCGAAUCUCUCCUGCAUUAACUCAGAUUAUUCAACAACGUUCUUUAAACUACAGUGACUAUGCAGCGUCGAAUUAGCUGGAAUAAUUUCGAAGGCCACUUGGAGGUACAAUUCAGGAGGUACUUGCCUGAAGAAAAUCACGUUUCAUUAAACAGGUUCUCACAGCGGCGACUAUGAAUAUGGCUGUCUUCUGGGUUGUGAGCCGUGUAGUCUGGUAGAAGUUUAUCGACGUUUCAGAGGUCCUUGCUGCCUAUCACUACUCAUUGCCCUAAUUAUACAGGCAGAAAGCACCUCUGAGACGUUGGUCAAUUUCUACGAGAUUACACGGUGCAACAUUUCGGAAAAGUUAUACUCGCCGCCGUGAGAACUUAAAAUCCCACUUCAUAUGUGCCGUUUACAAGGAAAUAUUAUCAGAUACCGUCACUGCUUAAACAAAAGACUAUUCUGUGUUGGGAACUAUUUAUACGACAGCCAGAAUCACGCCUUCAUAAGCCUGAGCGGACUUUUGUUUUUACGUGUUACAAUUCAAGACGCAUCUACGUAGCUGAAAACGAAUUUUCCAUAUCGAUAGGUCUAUAGGAACCAUUAUUUCUUAAAAACGUUGUUGUAUUGCAAUGCAGCUGUUAAUGUGAUGGUUUGUUUUUGGAAUAAGUUCACAGUUCUCUCGCCUCUUCAUACAGUGGGCAUAUAUGCUGCGCUUUUAGUACGUAAGCUUUUGGACAGACAUCGAGACUAAAAUUAACUCAGGAUUGCAAGCUCCUACCCCUUGCCUGGUUCUACAGAUCAUCACCUGGAAAUCAAACCGAACGAAAUUCUUUUCAGAAUCUUGAAAAGUUACACAAUGUAGUCACUAUUUAAUCAAAAGUUACCCUUAAGAAAGUAAUAUUAUCAUUGGCCUAUAUGACGACAAAAUGUAAGAUGGCUGUGAAAGGUAAAUUGGAUAGGAUAUGAAGCAAGAAGUUCGUGACCUAGUUAGAAGUACUUUUCCAGCAUUAGCCUACAAGGUCUUAGAAAAAACACAACAAAUAUCAUAUCAGUCAGAAUAACCUGUUUACAUUCCAAGAUUGGAUUCCGCUACCAUCAGAACAAGAAACACGAGUCAAGAAGUUCUAUAAGACUGCUUAAACGUAAUGUCCCGGAAUUUCACCGUAGAUGGUGAGGAAAUUGUCAGUGUUCUAUAGCCGAUAACUGUAACAGUCGCUCACAUUAUAGGUCUACAGCGUCGAAAAAUUGGCUAAUGAAGGAAAUUAUGUUGAAGUAAACUAUCACAGCGUAAUUCAACGAACCAUAAAGGCAGUUUUAAGUGACGACAGCCACUUUCUGGGCCGCGGUUUGAACCCGGGACUUCAGGAAUAUAAAAACAGGACUGACAACGACUCGGCUGCUGCGUUCAAUAUUAAAAAUAUUAAAUCCUUGAUUUAUAAAGAAAGACUGAAUUGUAAACAAAGCAUCGUCAACAUUGUUAAUUUGUAUAGAAAUAAAAUAUCGAAUCUCGUAACUGAGGUUUUUCGUAAUUAUUCUCACCUUUUGCAGGCGAACACAAAAAAGUAAUUUCAGGUAACUUCCAAGCUCAUUCGAUACUUGAAUUAAUCUGUGCAAUUGAGCAGGUGUUGUUAAAUAAUUCAUAAUUGUUGCAUAUACUAAUCGAGUGUUCUUAAUGCAUUAAUAGAAUAAUCAUAAAUUUGUAGCAAGUUAUAUUAAAUAAAAAAACAUAUUUAAUUCAACAAUUCUGUAAUCUGUGUUUGAAAAUAAAGAAUUUUAACCAGC